AACGUAGGUGGCAAGCGUUAUCCGGAUUUACUGGGCGUAAAGCGUGUGCAGGCGGGGGUACAAGUGGUGUAUGAAAUUUCCCAGCUUAACUGGGAAGGGUUAUGCCAGACUGUACUUCUGGAGUGCGAGAGAGGGGCGUGGAAUUCCUGGUGUAGCGGUGAAAUGCGCAGAUAUCAGGAAGAACACCCGUGGCGAAGGCGGCUCUCUGGGACGGUACUGACGCUGAGGCGCGAAAGCGUGGGGAGCAAACAGG
rnacentral:rRNA from 1 species